AGAGUGAACGCUGGCGGUAGGCCUAACACAUGCAAGUCGAACGGCAGCACAGGAGAGCUUGCUCUCUGGGUGGCGAGUGGCGGACGGGUGAGGAAUACAUCGGAAUCUACCUUUUCGUGGGGGAUAACGUAGGGAAACUUACGCUAAUACCGCAUAAGACCUUCGGGUGAAAGCCGGGGACCUUCGGGCCUGGCGCGGAUAGAUGAGCCGAUGUCGGAUUAGCUUGUUGGCGGGGUAAAAGCCCACCAAGGCGACGAUCCGUAGCUGGUCUGAGAGGAUGAUCAGCCACACUGGAACUGAGACACGGUCCAGACUCCUACGGGAGCAGCAGUGGGGAAUAUGGACAAUGGGCGC
rnacentral:rRNA from 1 species